rnacentral:rRNA from 1 species
UACGUAGGGUGCAAGCGUUGUCCGGAAUUAUUGGGCGUAAAGAGCUCGUAGGCGGUUUGUCACGUCGGCUGUGAAAACCUGGGGCUCAACUCCGGGCCUGCAGCCGAUACGGGCAGACUAGAAUUCGGUAGGGGAGACUGGAAUUCCUGGUGUAGCGGUGAAGUGCGCAGAUAUCAGGAGGAACACCGGUGGCGAAGGCGGGUCUCUGGGCCGAUACUGACGCUGAGGAGCGAAAGCGUGGGGAGCGAACAGG